rnacentral:rRNA from 1 species
GAUGAACGCUGGCGGCGUGCCUAAUACAUGCAAGUCGAGCGAACAGACGAGGAGCUUGCUCCUUCGACGUUAGCGGCGGACGGGUGAGUAACACGUAGGUAACCUACCUAUAAGACUGGGAUAACUUCGGGAAACCGGAGCUUAUACCGGAUAAUAUUUCGAACCGCAUGGUUCGAUAGUGAAAGAUGGCUUUGCUAUCACUUAUAGAUGGACCUGCGCCGUAUUAGCUAGUUGGUAAGGUAACGGCUUACCAAGGCAACGAUACGUAGCCGACCUGAGAGGGUGAUCGGCCACACUGGAACUGAGACACGGUCCAGACUCCUACGGGAGGCAGCAGUAGGGAAUCUUCCGCAAUGGGCGAAAGCCUGACGGAGCAACGCCGCGUGAGUGAUGAAGGUCUUCGGAUCGUAAAACUCUGUUAUUAGGGAAGAACAAACGUGUAAGUAACUGUGCACGUCUUGACGGUACCUAAUCAGAAAGCCACGGCUAACUACGUG